rnacentral:lncRNA from 1 species
CAUCAUAUCAUAUUGCUUCUUUGCAAGAAGACCAUGGAUGGUAAAAAAAAAACCCAAUGAAACUAUGCUACCAACAUCCCAAUACAUGAUUAUAGAAAAGCAUCUUGUAAUAUAUUGAUUGACAAAGAAGGAAGCACUUAAGAAACUGUGAUCAAUAUGUAUAGGUAACAUGAACGGAAGUUUAGAUAGUUGAACUAGAAAACCUAGCAAGCAUUGGGUUACUUAAAAGAAGAAUUUCUUCCUUCCAAGCCAAAAAGACAUGCAAAAAGCUGAAAAGACUCAAAAGAGCGACAUCCUCCUGCUGCAAUCAGUCUAGCACCAUGGUCUCUGAUGACAAAUGCCACUCCCGUCCGAUCAACACCGCCGGGUAGACUUUCAUCAAAGUUCAUCUUUAGAUUCCCAAGAGACCGUUGGUGUUUGAGGUGCAGUGAACCAACAAGUGGAGCUUGCCUACCUCCUAGCAUGAGGAGCGGAAAAAAGCGGUCCCUUGGCUUUGGUAUUCCUCCUCAGGAGCUAGGAAUUAACGCAGCUCUCAAUCCUACCCGACGUCACCUGAGAGACAAAAAGUUAAAAGCGAUGGACACCUAAUCGGCCCAUCGCAGGAUUGGGCAAGACCUAUGAAAGAUUUCCUUCCCAACCACUGCAGACUUGUUUCAUCCUUCCUGAAGGUGGCUGCCAAUGUGUGCAGUUCCCGGUCGGACGAAUCUAGAGAAUUUUCAAACAUAUUUAAGAUGAUGAUGGCAACAACUUAAGCGUCAUUUUUGGUGCGACCACAGGAUGGAUACGCAGAUGCUCUCCAUAAAAUUCGUGGGUUUGCCGGCGACUGUGGGCGCUUAUAUGCACCAAUUACUUUGCGACUGAGUCAAGAAAACUUCAGAUUGAGCAGGUAGACUUAAUUGCUAAAUGCUAGGAAAGAUUCUCUGCAACUCAAGUUGUAGAAAAUUCCUGGAACUUAAUUACAGGUUUUAAUAGGCCACAAGCAAUAUAGUCAAGACAUUAUUCAUACACCUUAAUUGUAGAAAUACUCUACAACAACUAAAAGGCUUGUAGAGGAUUUGUGUGUCUGUGUGUGUGUGGCUGAGAGAGAGAGAGAGAGAGAGAGAGAGAGAGAGAUGAAAGAUACACUCUACCUAUGUGGGCAGCUGAUUUGGGAAUGCAUGACCGAGAGGAAUCCAUUGACCUGUGGAGCCACUCAUCACUUUACCACGGUUUGGAAGGCGCCCAACUAUUUCCAUGGAAUCAAUCUUAAAGGAAGAAAGGUCUCGGCCUCCCUCUUAGAAAUGAACUGCUGCAUCAAAGGGUGUCCUUCGCUAUCUUAUGAUAGAUCUCGGCCUCCUCAUCUGACUUGUUUCAUAUAAAGAACUUUUCUC